rnacentral:rRNA from 1 species
GGGAAUAUUGCGCAAUGGGCGAAAGCCUGACGCAGCGACGCCGCGUGAGGGACGAAUGCCUUCGGGUUGUAAACCUCUUUCAGCAGGGACGAAGCGCAAGUGACGGUACCUGCAGAAGAAGCACCGGCCAACUACGUGCCAGCAGCCGCGGUAAUACGUAGGGUGCAAGCGUUGUCCGGAAUUAUUGGGCGUAAAGAGCUCGUAGGCGGUCUGUCGCGUCGGCUGUGAAACCCGGAGGCUCAACCUCCGGCCUGCAGUCGAUACGGGCAGACUAGAGUUCGGUAGGGGAGACUGGAAUUCCUGGUGUAGCGGUGGAAUGCGCAGAUAUCAGGAGGAACACCGGUGGCGAAGGCGGGUCUCUGGGCCGAUACUGACGCUGAGGAGCGAAAGCGUGGGGAGCGAA